UACGGAGGGUGCAAGCGUUAAUCGGAAUUACUGGGCGUAAAGCGCACGCAGGCGGUUUGUUAAGUCAGAUGUGAAAUCCCCGAGCUUAACUUGGGAACUGCAUUUGAAACUGGCAAGCUAGAGUCUUGUAGAGGGGGGUAGAAUUCCAGGUGUAGCGGUGAAAUGCGUAGAGAUCUGGAGGAAUACCGGUGGCGAAGGCGGCCCCCUGGACAAAGACUGACGCUCAGGCGCGAAAGCGUGGGGAGCAAACAGG
rnacentral:rRNA from 1 species